GAUUAAGUUAUUAAGGGCGCACGGUGGAUGCCUUGGCACUAGAAGCCGAUGAAGGACGUUACUAACGACGAUAUGCUUUGGGGAGCUGUAAGUAAGCUUUGAUCCAGAGAUUUCCGAAUGGGGAAACCCAGCAUGAGUUAUGUCAUGUUAUCGAUAUGUGAAUACAUAGCAUAUCAGAAGGCACACCCGGAGAACUGAAACAUCUUAGUACCCGGAGGAAGAGAAAGAAAAUUCGAUUCCCUUAGUAGCGGCGAGCGAAACGGGAAGAGCCCAAACCAACAAGCUUGCUUGUUGGGGUUGUAGGACACUCUAUACGGAGUUACAAAGGACGACAUUAGACGAAUCAUCUGGAAAGAUGAAUCAAAGAAGGUAAUAAUCCUGUAGUCGAAAAUGUUGUCUCUCUUGAGUGGAUCCUGAGUACGACGGAGCACGUGAAAUUCCGUCGGAAUCUGGGAGGACCAUCUCCUAAGGCUAAAUACUCUCUAGUGACCGAUAGUGAACCAGUACCGUGAGGGAAAGGUGAAAAGCACCCCGGAAGGGGAGUGAAAUAGAACCUGAAACCGUGUGCUUACAAGUAGUCAGAGCCCGUUAAUGGGUGAUGGCGUGCCUUUUGUAGAAUGAACCGGCGAGUUACGAUUUGAUGCAAGGUUAAGCAGUAAAUGUGGAGCCGUAGCGAAAGCGAGUCUGAAUAGGGCGUUUAGUAUUUGGUCGUAGACCCGAAACCAGGUGAUCUACCCUUGGUCAGGUUGAAGUUCAGGUAACACUGAAUGGAGGACCGAACCGACUUACGUUGAAAAGUGAGCGGAUGAACUGAGGGUAGCGGAGAAAUUCCAAUCGAACCUGGAGAUAGCUGGUUCUCUCCGAAAUAGCUUUAGGGCUAGCCUCAAGUGAUGAUUAUUGGAGGUAGAGCACUGUUUGGACGAGGGGCCCCUCUCGGGUUACCGAAUUCAGACAAACUCCGAAUGCCAAUUAAUUUAACUUGGGAGUCAGAACAUGGGUGAUAAGGUCCGUGUUCGAAAGGGAAACAGCCCAGACCACCAGCUAAGGUCCCAAAAUAUAUGUUAAGUGGAAAAGGAUGUGGCGUUGCCCAGACAACUAGGAUGUUGGCUUAGAAGCAGCCAUCAUUUAAAGAGUGCGUAAUAGCUCACUAGUCGAGUGACACUGCGCCGAAAAUGUACCGGGGCUAAACAUAUUACCGAAGCUGUGGAUUGUCCUUUGGACAAUGGUAGGAGAGCGUUCUAAGGGCGUUGAAGCAUGAUCGUAAGGACAUGUGGAGCGCUUAGAAGUGAGAAUGCCGGUGUGAGUAGCGAAAGACGGGUGAGAAUCCCGUCCACCGAUUGACUAAGGUUUCCAGAGGAAGGCUCGUCCGCUCUGGGUUAGUCGGGUCCUAAGCUGAGGCCGACAGGCGUAGGCGAUGGAUAACAGGUUGAUAUUCCUGUACCACCUAUAAUCGUUUUAAUCGAUGGGGGGACGCAGUAGGAUAGGCGAAGCGUGCGAUUGGAUUGCACGUCUAAGCAGUAAGGCUGAGUAUUAGGCAAAUCCGGUACUCGUUAAGGCUGAGCUGUGAUGGGGAGAAGACAUCGUGUCUUCGAGUCGUUGAUUUCACACUGCCGAGAAAAGCCUCUAGAUAGAAAAUAGGUGCCCGUACCGCAAACCGACACAGGUAGUCAAGAUGAGAAUUCUAAGGUGAGCGAGCGAACUCUCGUUAAGGAACUCGGCAAAAUGACCCCGUAACUUCGGGAGAAGGGGUGCUCUUUAGGGUUAACGCCCAGAAGAGCCGCAGUGAAUAGGCCCAAGCGACUGUUUAUCAAAAACACAGGUCUCUGCUAAACCGUAAGGUGAUGUAUAGGGGCUGACGCCUGCCCGGUGCUGGAAGGUUAAGAGGAGUGGUUAGCUUCUGCGAAGCUACGAAUCGAAGCCCCAGUAAACGGCGGCCGUAACUAUAACGGUCCUAAGGUAGCGAAAUUCCUUGUCGGGUAAGUUCCGACCCGCACGAAAGGCGUAACGAUUUGGGCACUGUCUCAACGAGAGACUCGGUGAAAUCAUAGUACCUGUGAAGAUGCAGGUUACCCGCGACAGGACGGAAAGACCCCGUGGAGCUUUACUGUAGCCUGAUAUUGAAAUUCGGCACAGCUUGUACAGGAUAGGUAGGAGCCUUUGAAACGUGAGCGCUAGCUUACGUGGAGGCGCUGGUGGGAUACUACCCUAGCUGUGUUGGCUUUCUAACCCGCACCACUUAUCGUGGUGGGAGACAGUGUCAGGCGGGCAGUUUGACUGGGGCGGUCGCCUCCUAAAAGGUAACGGAGGCGCUCAAAGGUUCCCUCAGAAUGGUUGGAAAUCAUUCAUAGAGUGUAAAGGCAUAAGGGAGCUUGACUGCGAGACCUACAAGUCGAGCAGGGUCGAAAGACGGACUUAGUGAUCCGGUGGUUCCGCAUGGAAGGGCCAUCGCUCAACGGAUAAAAGCUACCCCGGGGAUAACAGGCUUAUCUCCCCCAAGAGUUCACAUCGACGGGGAGGUUUGGCACCUCGAUGUCGGCUCAUCGCAUCCUGGGGCUGUAGUCGGUCCCAAGGGUUGGGCUGUUCGCCCAUUAAAGCGGUACGCGAGCUGGGUUCAGAACGUCGUGAGACAGUUCGGUCCCUAUCCGUCGUGGGCGUAGGAAAUUUGAGAGGAGCUGUCCUUAGUACGAGAGGACCGGGAUGGACAUACCUCUGGUGUACCAGUUGUCGUGCCAACGGCAUAGCUGGGUAGCUAUGUGUGGACGGGAUAAGUGCUGAAAGCAUCUAAGCAUGAAGCCCCCCUCAAGAUGAGAUUUCCCAACUUCGGUUAUAAGAUCCCUCAAAGAUGAUGAGGUUAAUAGGUUCGAGGUGGAAGCAUGGUGACAUGUGGAGCUGACGAAUACUAAUCGAUCGAAGACUUAAUCAA
rnacentral:rRNA from 1 species